rnacentral:sRNA from 1 species
GGAUCAUUUGAAGAAUAUUUAAAGCGUUUGGAAAAUCCACAGGUGGAAUUUAACUCCAUUGCCAGGCUGGAGUGCAUGGCAUGAUCUCGGCUCACUGCAGCCUCCACCUCCCGAGUUCAAGCGAUUUGUCUCCCGAGUAUCUGGGACUACAGGCGUGCACCACCAUGUCCAGCUAAUUUUUUUAUUUUUAGUAGAGAUGGGGUUUCACCAUAUUGGCCAGGAUGGUCUCGAUCUCUCGACCUCGUGAUCCGCCUGCCUCAGCCUCCCAAAGUGCUGGGAUUACAGGUGUGAGCCACCACACCUGGCCUGCAGAGUUUUUCUUCCUAGGCAACUGAGAAGGCAGAGUUCUUUCAUGCAGGUUCCUAUGUCCAUGAUCAUCUCGUGAAGAGGGAAGAGACUGUUGAGACAGAAAAGGAUAGCACUUACUCACCAACUCCUGCUGCUAUACUUUUUCAGUCAUGUUUAUGUUAAAAGGAUUUUUCUUAAUUUUUUUCUGUUUACAAAACUAACGUUCUCACUGUAAAAAUCCAAGUAUCUUGGAAUGCCAUUUAGAAUGUUAAGGUAAAAAUAACAUUGGCAAAGAAAAAAGCUAA